rnacentral:lncRNA from 2 species
AAGGUUUGGCGGCGGAGCAGGUCGCAGCAGGUUCGGCGGCGGAGCAGGUCUCGGCAGGGUUCGGCGACGGAGUAUGUCGUGGCAGGGUUCUUCGGUGGAGUAGGUCUCGGCGGGCUUCGGCGGCGAAGGCGAUGGCAGGCUCGAGCUCCAGUAGGAGCACAACACGGUCGGCGACGAAAAUAUCCAGGCAAGAAUGGUGGAUGCAAAUUAUGGCAGUGGUAUGAACCAGGGACAACGCCAUAUUUGAAGCAGGUUUUGAAUGAUUUAGUCAGCACUGUUUGUGAAGUGAAGACAGAGAACUCUAAAAUUAGAGCAUCCCUUGCCAACUCAAGAGCUGUGAUUGAUGGACUUGUCACUGAAUGCAAUGUCUAUGAAGCAAAGAGCAUGGGACAAAAAGAGGAAUGUGGCUCAUUUGCUGAAAUGGCAUGUAGAAUCAAGAUGUUAGAAGAGAGUAGACGAUUUAUGUUGUCAGUAAUUGUUGGUUUUGUAGUAGUCAUAUUUGCACUAUUGCUUCUUAGGUAG